UACGUAGGGCGCAAGCGUUUGUCCGGAAUUAUUGGGCGUAAAGAGCUCGUAGGCGGUUUGUCGCGUCUGCUGUGAAAACCCGAGGCUCAACCUCGGGCCUGCAGUGGGUACGGGCAGACUAGAGUGUGGUAGGGGAGACUGGAAUUCCUGGUGUAGCGGUGGAAUGCGCAGAUAUCAGGAGGAACACCAAUGGCGAAGGCAGGUCUCUGGGCCACAACUGACGCUGGAGGAGCGAAAGCCGUGGGGAGCGAACAGG
rnacentral:rRNA from 1 species